CACGGACCGAAACAAUUGGUACAACACAUCAUAAGUUAAAGUUUUAUCUCUUUACAAAUUGCUCUAGAAAAAAUGUGGGCGCCACUAUACGGAAAGCUGAGUUUGUUCUGAACAAUUUGAUGUUAUGGGCAUCAGUUUUAUGCAAAUACCCUAAAAAGGUGAAUUUA